AGUUUGAUCCUGGCUCAGGAUGAACGCUGGCGGUCUGCUUAACACAUGCAAGUCGAACGGAGUGCUUCGGCACUUAGUGGCGGACGGGUGAGUAACGCGUGAGAAUCUGCCCUUAGGACGGGGACAACAGCUGGAAACGGCUGCUAAUACCCGAUGUGCCGAGAGGUGAAACAUUUUAUGGCCUGAGGAUGAGCUCGCGUCUGAUUAGCUAGUUGGUGGGGUAAGAGCCUACCAAGGCGACGAUCAGUAGCUGGUCUGAGAGGAUGAUCAGCCACACUGGGACUGAGACACGGCCCAGACUCCUACGGGAGGCAGCAGUGGGGAAUUUUCCGCAAUGGGCGCAAGCCUGACGGAGCAAGACCGCGUGCGGGAGGACGGCCUAUUGGUUGUAAACCGCUUUUGAUAGGGAAGAAGUACUGACGGUACCUAUCGAAUCAGCAUCGGCUAACUCCGUGCCAGCAGCCGCGGUAAUACGGAGGAUGCAAGCGUUAUCCGGAAUUAUUGGGCGUAAAGCGUCCGUAGGUGGUUGUUCAAGUCUGCUGUUAAAGCGUGCGGCUUAACCGCAUACCAGCAGUGGAAACUGGGCGACUAGAGUGCGGUAGGGGUCAGGGGAAUUCCCAGUGUAGCGGUGAAAUGCGUAGAUAUUGGGAAGAACACCGGUGGCGAAAGCGCCUGACUGGACCUGCACUGACACUGAGGGACGAAAGCUAGGGGAGCGAAAGGGAUUAGAUACCCCUGUAGUCCUAGCCGUAAACGAUGGACACUAGGUGUUGCCCGUAUCGACCCGGGCAGUGCCGUAGCCAACGCGUUAAGUGUCCCGCCUGGGGAGUACGCUCGCAAGAGUGAAACUCAAAGGAAUUGANNGGGCCCGCACAGCGGUGGAGUAUGUGGUUUAUUCGAUGCACGCGAGA
rnacentral:rRNA from 1 species